UACGUAGGGUGCGAGCGUUGUCCGGAAUUAUCGGUGCGUAAAGAGCUCGUAGGCGGUGUGUCGCGUCGGCCGUGAAAACCUGCAGCUUAACUGUGGGCUUGCGGUCGAUACGGGCAUCACUGGAGUUCGGCAGGGGAGACUGGAAUUCCUGGUGUAGCGGUGAAAUGCGCAGAUAUCAGGAGGAACACCGGUGGCGAAGGCGGGUCUCUGGGCCGAUACUGACGCUGAGGAGCGAAAGCGUGGGGAGCGAACAGG
rnacentral:rRNA from 1 species